rnacentral:rRNA from 1 species
GACUACCGGGGUAUCUAAUCCUGUUUGCUCCCCACGCUUUCGCACCUCAGCGUCAGUAUUGGCCCAGGUCGCCGCCUUCGCCACUGGUAUUCCUCCCGAUAUCUACGAAUUUCACCUCUACACCGGGAAUUCUGCGACCCUCUUCCAUACUCAAGCCUCACAGUUUCGGAUGCACGUCCUCGGUUAAGCCGAGGGAUUUCACAUCCGACUUAUGAAGCCGCCUACGUGCGCUUUACGCCCAAUGAUUCCGAGCAACGUUUGCACCCUUCGUAUUACCGCGGCUGCUGGCACGAAGUUAGCCGGUGCUUGCUAAGGAGGUACCGUCAAUCGCCACUCUUCAUGGCGCCGUUCGUCCCUCCCCACAGAGCUUUACGACCCGAAGGCCUUCAUCACUCACGCGGCGUGGCUGGAUCAGGCUUGCGCCCAUUGUCCAAUAUUCCCCACUGCAGCCCCCCGUAGG